rnacentral:lncRNA from 1 species
GCCGAGUUGGUGGAGAAAGCUUUGUUGUUGCAGACCCUUGAGGAAACUGUCGGAAAACACAAUAUCACCAUUUUCGCUCCUAAAAAUGAAGCUCUUGAGCGGGAUCUCGACCCUGAGUUCAAGCGGUUUUUGCUUGAACCUGGUAAUCUCAAGUCCCUCCAAACUCUCUUGCUUUACCACAUUGUGCCUGCUAGGAUCGAUCGUCAUUCAUGGCCCAAAUCGACUUCGGCGUUAACCCAUCAUUUUACUUUAUCAAAUGAACGAGUUGAACUCUCCGGCGACGAUUCCUCAGGUGAAAAGUUCAUUGGUUCGGCCAAAGUAAUUUCCUCCAACGCUGUUGACCGUCCCGAUGGUGUCAUCCACGGCAUCGAACAACUAUUGAUCCCUCGAUCGGUGCAACAAGAUUUCAACAAUCGUAGAAGCCUCCGCUCAAUCUCCGCCGUCAAACCAGAAGGAGCUCCGGAAGUUGACCCCAGAACCCACCGCUUGAAAAAACCAGCACCCCCGGUCAAGCCCGGAGCUCCACCCGUCCUCCCAAUCUACGACGCAAUGGCUCCAGGCCCAUCGCUAGCUCCGGCACCAGCUCCCGGACCCGGCGGACCUCACCAUCAUUUCAACGGAAUGAGGCAAGUCAAAGAUUUCAUCCAAACUCUGAUACAAUACGGAGGGUACAAUGAAAUGGCGGACAUUUUAG